rnacentral:rRNA from 1 species
CCUACGGGAGGCUGCAGUGAGGAAUAUUGGUCAAUGGACGAGAGUCUGAACCAGCCAAGUAGCGUGAAGGAUGACUGCCCUAUGGGUGGUAAACUUCUUUUAUAUGGGAAUAAAACGUUCCACGUGUGGGCUUUUGGAUGUACCUUAUGAAUAAGGAUCGGCUAACUCCGUGCCAGCAGCCGCGGUAAUACGGAGGAUACGAGCGUUAUCCGGAUUUAUUGGGUUUAAAGGGAGCGUAGGUGGUUUGUUAAGUCAGUUGUGAAAGUUUGCGGCUCAACCGUAAAAUUGCAGUUGAAACUGGCAGUCUAGAGUACAGUAGAGGUGGGCGGAAUUCGUGGUGUAGCGGUGAAAUGCUUAGAUAUCACGAAGAACUCCGAUUGCGAAGGCAGUUCACUGGACUGCAACUGACACUGAGGCUCGAAAGUGUGGGUAUCAAACAGGAUUAGAUACCCUAGUAGUC